CGAGACCGCCCUAGCAAAAGUGGCAUGAUAUACAUACAUCUUACAAUAUCUGUCACAGCAACGUCAACAACAUACAGAUUGCCUUCAUCUUCAUCGCCGUCGUCAUGACUUGCCCCCCGUUUUUCGUUGUUUGUUGUUAAAUUUAUCCCCCUCCGUAGUAGUAUGGUGUCCCCCCGCACUAAUCUGUGCCUAGCAGAGCUGAAGUAGUAGGGCUGUGUUGUUGUGCUCCAUCCAUCCAUGUCAGUGUACAUAUAUGAUUAGCCCGUGUAAAGUUAAGUUUCAUAUGUCGUGUAAUGUGGUAGUGUCGUUGGCUCAGAAGUUAUUGACUGCCUGUCGUUUCCUUGAACAGUCCUUGGGAACUGUAUGCAUCUGGAUCUGUUGGACUGCUUGUAUUUGGAAGUUUUCCUCAAGUUUCAGUACUGAUGAAUUUUACUGUCUUGAUACAAUUUGGCAAGAACUUUCUCUGUUUGUUCUUUCUUUCUGCCUGUUUGUUUUCUGAACAUAUUUUGUUGUUUUUCGGUGGGCUCUGAAUUAUAACUGUAUGAACAUGAUGAUGUAUUAUUGAUCCAUGAAUGAAUAAGUUUGCAACCGUACUGCCGUUCCAUUUGAUGAGGUAGGGAUUGCAAAGCGGCCUGCGAACUGUAGGAAGCGUCACCCUUUUUCUAAACGGUGACAGAAAAAGUGUCUCGCUCUCACUCGCUGAAAGCCGAAAAUGAGAAGAAAACAAGAGGAAUGAUGAUAAAAAACGAGCCAACUGAUUGAUCAAAAUCGGUGGGAUGGAGGAUAUGCAGGCAACAGUACGUGCCAUGCCGCCUGAUAUUGUUCCUCCUGAUGGAUGGAUGGAGCAGGAAGCACGACGGAAGAAAGCAACAAAAAUCCUCUCAUCUCAAGAGAAAAAGCAAGGGAAACGAACGGGGCGCAGCCAAAGUCGCUGCGGAAACUAUGUUAUCGGUUCGCUACUUUGUGCUCGAGCAUUUCUGGAAGCGUUUCCGUGCCUCGUGUCCCCCACUGGUUGGUGGUCUGGUGACCGGGCAUUGGUGUACGGAAGCCGCCGUGGUUAUAAGUAGAUUGUCAUAGACCGACGGACUAACGAAAACACAUUAAACUUCGGGGGAUCAAGGCAAGUGCUUCGUUGUGUGAGGCGCACAAGGCAACCACCUCUGCUCCGGAAAGGUCGAGGACAAUCGCCUUGAAGGUUAUGAGGUAGCCGAUCUGGAGCUAGUGAGCAAUGGCGAAGCCGCUUCGGCUCACCCAUGAUCCAUGGUUAGUCUCUCGUUGAUCUCCCGAGCUUGACCUUCUAGGUGAAGUCGGUGUUCUUCGUGAGUUUGAUCUCCCUUGGGAAGGCGCCCAUGUGUUUACCAAGCCAUUGGAGAUCGGCAGUAGAAUCACCUUGCAGAAGUGAGUUGGACUCACGAAAAUGGUUGGCUCCAAUCAUCGUGCGGGAAGAAAUCUGAUAAAGAUAGGGGUUGGAUACUAACCUUAGGUAGAGGCCCUUUCCAAGGCCGGAUCGCCGUCGCCGCCGUCCUCCGGUGAAUGAUCAGGCGAACAACCUCCAUCCUGUCCUCAGAACACAGCCCGAUCCGUGCCGGAUCCUCGGCCGGCACAAUCUCGUCGACCAACGCAACCACCUCUUCCUCCGAAUAACCAGGGGCGAAGGCCUCGUAAAUCACGUCGGAUGGCGUCGGUGAGUAGUCGACCGGUGAUGUGCCGGCUGGAUCCUCCUCGUCAUCCGAACCUGCGAGGACCCAGAAAUGCCCCCCCUACAUGCCUUGUGGAAGGGAUUGCAGGCCCCGGUGGCCGAUUCGCGGUGGUCGCCGCGGGCGCCGCCCGAGUCGCCUCAGUCAUCUACCAGUUGGUGUCAUACUCCACACCUCUAGAACCCUUACACCUUCCUACUGUGGGAGCGUCUUCUCUCGACGGAUCGGCACCCUUCGUGGUAGGGCGAGAGGGUUGGGAGCCCCCUUUGGAGUUAGACGGAGAAUCGCCGCCACUUCCGAGAUGGUCGUCGUGCUCGAACCAGCUCCGAACUUACAGACGUGGUAGGGCGAGAGGCCAGGGAGCCCCCCUUUUCAAAAAAAAAACCCGAAAAUGGUUGGCUUUGGUUGGCCUCCCCCGAUGCCUCUGCGAACACUGCGAUGCACUGCCCUUACCAACCUCUUUGCCUUGGGGCUCUCGUCCCACUAAUCAAAUUGAACAAGAUCAAGGCAUGUAACAAAAUAUCAUGGACUAAUCAUGAAAAAUAUGUGCAUCUACUACAACAACAAGAACAUCACACAUACCAAUUCGAGCCCUAUAAGAGCAUGGUUAAUAAUAUAGCCAGUUGCUGGCUAUAUGAUGUUGUCAUGUCACAUAUAGUCAAGCUUAUAGCCAACAAGUAUAAUAGCUAGAUAUAAAUAUGUACUACUUUGUUGAUACAUGGGCCACCCCACUCUCUCACAAAGUACCUAGGAGCACGUGCUGCAGCCGGCUGUUAACUAGUAGCCCGCUUCUCUUCUCUCUCUUCUUCUCUCUCUUCCAAGCAAGCAAGAAUAUAAUAUUUAAUGUCUUACCGCCCGCCUACAUCAUCUUAUCGUAUUUGCUCUAAAACCGUUAUUCGAGUGUCCCAUAUCCACACCCAAAUCAGAUCCCAUAUCCACACCCUAAUCGAGGUGUAUGAAAUCCUAAAUAUGAUUCUAAACCCAAAUGGUCACCCAAAUCGAGGCAUCCAAAUCUAAAUCGAUGCCUAUAUAGAUCCUCAAAUCUGCCAGGUAAGGGCUUACCACCAUUGACAAAAGGGUGAUGAGGCCGGUGGUCGCCGUUUAGAUCUUCGACCCGCCGAUGCCCACCGCCGCCAGUGAGAGAGGGGAGAGUGAGCGGUGACAUAUGAAUGAGGGAAUUUAUGGCGAACAACAACGUGGUGUCUCUAGUCGGUCCGCGCGUGUUCAGCCGCCUGCCGUCCUUGCGCUCGAUCGGGCCAGACUAGCUGGAACGAUUUAUUCAGCCGUUUCUCCAGGGUUAGACCCUGAGUUGCUUUGAAUAUCAUGCUAUUACGGGUACAGAUACACACACGGGUAACCAAAUGACUCAAAAUUAGAUCUCCAAAGCCCGGCUGAGUGUCAUGCAGGCAACAAAACAGACCCCCAAAUGCCUUCGGUUAGAGCAUCUCCAACCGCGCCCCUAACAGGCCCCCCAAGGCCCCUUUUUAGCACCAGUGCUGAAAAAACGGCCCAGUCGCGCCUCCAGGAACCCAAUUUUCACCGGUUAGGCCCUAAACUCGCGCCGGCGGACCUAGGCCAAACCCGACGCGUUGGGGGGUGCCCGAGGAAUCUUUUUGGCGCGAAAGAACGGCGGGCCCGCUGAGUCAGCGACCACGGCGCAACGUCAUCCUCAUCGCCUCGAUUCCCGCGAGGAAUCAAUGCCAAAGCUGUCGCGCUGGUCAGCCUCCAUUGAUGCCUCACGGGCGGCACAGUGAAGGCGCGGCAACGCGCGUCCCGCCCGAUCCCGCCACGCAUACACACGUCGGCCGCCAACCCACCGCCCAAGCUCGGCUAUAAAAAGCUCCCUCGUCGGGGAGCACACACACACUCUCGAGCGAGCUCCUCCUCUCGCUGCCGACACCCCUCUCGACCGAGCAUGGCCGAGCUUUACCCAAGCGAUGAUGCGACGGCUAAUGGCUUCGGUCGUCGCCACCUGUAUGAGGACGAGGCACGGCUCCUUUAUGAGGCCGACUACCUGGCACCGCCGGACAUGCAUCGAGCGUCGUUCCAGGCAAAGACACUGUUUCGGCGGCCGCGCACGUGGAAGCUGAGCGCCGGCGGAGUCCCGGUGCCACCGGCGCUGCCCGACGCGCCGAGAUCGCGCGCAUGCGGUCCUCGCUGACAGAGGAGGUGUGCAACCAGCCGAGGUACGCCCCCGAUAGCAACACGCUAUGGACGUCGUACUUCGUACGCUGCCACGUCGAGCAGCUCGCCUCCUCGAACGGCGUCGAGCCCCGUGAUGGGGUCAUGUACCUAGGGUAGGGUCACAGACCUGAUCUAAGUGCCCUGCCCAAGGACACCCUUAGAAGAGAUCACCUUCCAGUUGACCUACGAGGGACUCACUCGACUGACUUGAAGGACUCGACCACGAAGACUCACUCGACCACAAGAAAGUCAAGAGGCACUCUGCACUGCAACGGCCUGUAAUUAAGUAGACUUUAUGAUAGUAAAGACACUUUAUGUGGGGCGUUACCAGUAACGCCCCGGACUUAACUCACCUUAAACCCUCUCCUACGUGGGCUGGCUGGGGUCCUGGCGCACUCUAUAUAAGCCACCCCCCUCCACAGGUAGAGGGGUUCGGUACCUUGUAACUCAUAUACACAUAAUCCACUCGACCGCCUCUGGGCUCCGAGACGUAGGGCUUUUACUUCUUCCGAGAAGGGCCUGAACUCGUACAUCCCUUGUGUUUACAACUUCUCCAUAGCUAGGACCUUGCCUCUCCAUACCUACCCCCCACUCUACUGUCAGGCUUAGAACCACGACAGUUGGCGCCCACCUUGGGGCAGGUGUUUUAGCGAUUUUGUGGAGAAGUUGCGAUUCUUCCGAGUACUUUCAUCAUGGUGGCUGCUGGAGUUUUGGUCGAGGGCCGAGAGAUCCGUCUCGGUGCUCUCACCUUCGUCGCCGACGACUCCGCCUGGCUCCAGGAGGCUCCACUCGACGUCGAUGCGCUCCCCGUCCGCGGUGCGACGCAUUUUCGCGCAUGUGUCCGCGGCGUUCUGCUGCGGCAACCGUCGACCCCGUAUCGGUCGACUCCCCCAUCGGCCACCCUCCCGGUCUCCCACCAGCGCAAGCGCUCGGGCCGGUCGAGGCUUCAGCGGUGGGUGAGGCACGCGGUGGCUCGCCAGACGGCCACCACCCAAUUUGCGGCAAUCGAGCCCGACGAAUCUCUCUACGGCUUGUUCGAUCUGUCGACUGGCUCCGUAGAGACCGCAUCCGAGUGCGAUAGCAGUGAUCCUGCGGCGGAAAUCCUAAUGGUCGACGGGCCCCGCAGUCCCCCUGGCUUCGCCCGUGAUGGUGGAGCAGGCGACGGAGGCGACCCCGCACGAGACCAUGAAGAGUACCAGCCCGAGCCACUCGACUCUCUGCAAAGAGAGGAACUUCACCGCAGGAACAUGGAUGCCCUGCGUACUCCCAUCGCAGGAGAAACCCCUGAGGCUCGCGCCUUGGAGGAGGCACGUUUGGCCAAUUUGGCCGAACGCACUCGACUGGAGAAUCUUCAGCGAGCACUCGACGAGCGCGCGCGGCAACGAGUUCCCGACGCCAGUCAACGUCAACUCUUCCCGCCGACUCAGGUAUAUCGAACCCCAAUCCAGAAUUUAGCAGCUGCGACCCGUAUAGCAGAGUCCAUCCAGCCUUCUCAGUCGGAAGCUGGCAGAGGCUUGAUGCAGAUCAGGGAUCUGCUUCGGGCAGCAGGAGAUCAGAAUUCGGCCGUGUCGCAGUCGCGCAACAGAAUUCACAGUUGAUCCGUCGCUGCGAAUACGGUUCAGUCGGCUCACAGCCCCAGAUCGCCUCCGCGGCGUGAAGGGCGCGAGAAUCGGCGAGACCAAUAUGGUGACCGACUAGACCGAGAUGAUAGGCGUCGAGUGCCCAAUUCCCCUCCGAGGGGUGGGUCUUACGCUCCUCGGCAGCAAGAUGACAGGCGUCAGUUCAGUACGGGGCGAAGAGUUCCAGUCGACCCCAGAGAACCAGGCUUCGACGCGCGAUCCAUUAUCGUGCAAGGUUUGGUCGACCGGAACAGAGCCCAUCGAGGCGGACUCGACAGAGAUGCGCCCACAAGCAGUCGAGUGCAUGUUUCUGGUCCUGAAUGUUUCAGCAGAGCUAUCAGAGCCGCAAUUAUCCCUCCCAAUUUCAGGUUGGCAACAGGAGUCAGCAAGUUCACUGGUGAGUCUAAGCCUGAAACUUGGCUUGAGGACUACCGAGUGGCGGUUCAGAUUGGUGGUGGGAACGACGAGGUGGCUAUGAAGCAUUUGCCCCUCAUGCUGGAAGGUUCUGCCAGGGCAUGGUUGACUCAAUUACCUCCUAGCAGCAUUUACACUUGGGAAGAUCUGUCCCGAGUGUUCAUCAGAACGUUUGAAGGAACUUGCAAGCGACCAGCUGGAUUGACAGAGUUGCAAGUCUGCGUGCAGAAAACCAAUGAGACUCUCAGAGAGUAUAUUCAGAGAUGGAUCACUUUGCACCAUACUGUGGAGAAUGUGUCUGAUCAUCAGGCAGUCUGCGCCUUUAAAGAUGGCGUCAAGAACAGAGAAUUGAGCUUGAAGUUUGGUCGAACCGGUGACAUGACCUUGAGUCGGAUGAUGGAGAUCGCUACCAAGUACGCCAACGGCGAAGAAGAAGACCGACUCCGAAGCGGCAAGCACAAGCCGAGCCAGUCGGAAAAGGGAAACACCAGUCGGAAACAGAAGCGGAAGGCUGAACCGGCAGCUCCUGGAGAGGCUCUGGCCGUGACUCAAGGAAAGUUUAAAGGGAAACCAAAAGGAUCCUGGAACCCUAAGAAGGUGAAGGAUAAAGAAGGGAACGACGUGAUGGAUAUGCCGUGUCACAUCCACACGAAGAAAGACGAAGAGGGGAAUAUCAUCUACCCGAAGCAUACCACUCGCCAAUGUCGACUCCUGAUCCAGCAGUUUCAGGGAAAACAGUCUAAGGACAAGGAGAAGGAGUCGGACAAGGCCGAAGACAAGGAGGACAGUGAAGAAGGAUAUCCGCAUAUCAACUCCACUCUGAUGAUCUUUGCAGAUGUGGAAAGCAAGAGUCGAUUGAAAGUCAUUAACCGAGAGGUGAACAUGGUUGCCCCGGCAAAAGCAAAUUAUCUGAAAUGGUCCCAAAUACCCAUCACAUUCGACCAAUCUGAUCACCCGACUCAUAUUGCCACCCCUGGGAGGCAAGCUUUGGUGGUCGAUCCAGUUGUCGAAGGCACUCGACUGACAAAAGUGCUGAUGGACGGUGGAAGCGGGCUGAAUUUGUUGUAUGCAGACACACUGAAAGGAAUGGGCAUUCCGAUGUCCCGACUGAGCACCAGUAACAUGAGCUUUCAUGGAGUUAUACCAGGGAAGAAAGCCGAGUCACUCGGCCAAAUAGCUCUGGACGUGGUGUUUGGUGAUUCGAAACAUUUUCGCAAAGAAAAGUUGACGUUUGAGGUCGUGGAUUUUCAGAGUGCAUAUCAUGCCAUUUUGAGGAGACCAGCUUACGCAUGAUUCAUGGCUCGACCAUGUUACGUGUACCUCAAAUUGAAGAUGCCCGGCCCCAAAGGAGUGAUCACUGUCACCGGUGAUCGGAAAAAGGCAGAAGAGUGCUUUCAGAAGGGCUCAAAGAUUGCCAAUUCCCAGGUGACAGCGGUCGAAUUCGAAGAAUACAAGCAAAAUGCAGAUCCGAGUGAUUUGCUGCGAUCCAAGAAACCCGCCACAGAGUCUGCAUUUCAGUCGUCCGGUGCGACGAAGCCUGUUCACAUUCACCCGACCGACCCCGAUGCAGCUCCGACCCACAUCUCCACAACACUGGACCCGAAAUAGGAAGAAGCGCUCAUCCAGUUCCUCCGUGAGAACUGGGACAUUUUUGCAUGGAAGCCCGCUGACAUGCCAGGUGUUCCCAGGGGACUGGCUGAGCAUCGCCUAAGAGUCGACUCAUCUGCAAAAUCGGUCAAAGAGCAUCUUCGGCGGUCCGCCGUCCAGAAGAGACAAGCUAUUGGUGAGGAAGUGGCUCGACUGUUGGCGGCAAGAUUUAUCCGAGAGAUAUACCACUCCGAGUGGCUCGCUAAUGUCGUCAUGGUUCCUAAGAAAGACAAAUCGCUCCAAAUGUGCAUUGAUUUCAAGCACAUCAACCGGGCCUGCCCGAAAGAUCAUUUUCCUCUCCCUCGCAUAGAUCAAAUUGUUGACUCGACCGCGGGAUGCGAGAGACUGUCUUUUCUAGACGCCUACUCCGGGUACCACCAGAUCCGUCUGUACGGACCCGACGAGAUAAAAACAGCUUUCAUCACUCCAUUCGGGUGCUUUUGCUAUAUCACCAUGCCAUUCGGCCUCAAGAAUGCCGGAGCCACAUUUAUGCGAAUGAUUCAGAAGUGUCUACUCACUCAAAUCAGUCGGAAUGUGGAAGCGUAUAUGGAUGAUAUCGUCGUCAAGUCACGAAAAGGUUCCGACCUGCUCGCUGAUCUCGCCGAAACAUUUGCCAACCUCAGAAGGUAUGAUAUGCAGCUCAAUCCAUCAAAGUGCACAUUUGGAGUUCCUGGUGGCAAGUUACUCGGUUUUCUCGUUUCCGAACAAGGAAUCGACGCUAAUCCAGAGAAGAUCGGCACUAUUCUCCGAAUGAAACGCCCUGUGCGAGUGCACGAUGUCCAGAAGCUUACUGGAUGCUUGGCCGCAUUAAGUCGAUUCAUCUCAUGACUCGGUGAAAAGGCAUUGCCUCUUUACCGACUGAUGAAGAAGACAAACAAGUUCGAGUGGACUCCAGAAGCUGAUGCAGCGUUUGCCGAGCUAAAAGCUCUGCUCUCCACCCAGCCGGUGCUUGCUGCUCCAAUCAGCAAAGAGCCUCUUUUGCUCUAUAUCGCAGCCACAGGACAAGUCGUCAGUACUGUGCUUAUGGUCGAGCGGGAAGAAGAAGGAAAAGCUCUCAAAGUUCAGCGCCCAGUGUAUUAUUUGUCUGAAGCCUUGACUCCAUCCAAGCAGAGAUAUCCUCAUUAUCAGAAGCUUGUGUAUGGAAUAUACAUGACCACAAAGAAGGUUGCUCAUUAUUUCUCUGAUCAUUCCAUCACAGUCGUCAGCGACGCUCCACUAUCAGAGAUUUUGCACAACAGAGAUGCAACUGGUCGAGUGGCUAAAUGGGCGAUUGAACUUCUUCCCCUUGAUAUCAAGUUUGAGGCAAAGAAAGCCAUUAAGUCCCAGGCAAUAGCAGAUUUCCUCGCCGAGUGGAUUGAACAGCAGCAGCCGACUGAAGUUCACUCGGAGCAUUGGACCAUGUUCUUUGAUGGCUCUAAGAUGUUGAAUGGUUCCGGUGCUGGGGUUGUCCUGGUUUCCCCCAGAGGAGAUAAGCUCAGAUAUGUGCUCCAGAUUCACUUUGAUUCCUCCAACAAUGAGGCAGAAUAUGAGGCCCUCUUAUAUGGGUUGCGCAUGGCCAUUUCACUCGGCGUCCGUCGCCUGAUGGUCUAUGGCGACUCGGAUUUGGUGGUCAACCAAGUGAUGAAGGAGUGGGACGUGAGAAGCCCAGCCAUGACUGGAUACUGCAGUGCAGUGAGGAAGCUGGAAAAGAAGUUCGAGGGGUUGGAGCUCCAUCAUAUACCCCGACUGAAAAAUCAAGCAGCUGAUGAUCUAGCAAAGAUAGGUUCCAAGAGAGAAGCCAUUCCGAGUGGUGUGUUCUUGGAGCAUAUACACACUCCGUCAGUCAAAGAAGAUCCUUUCACCGAAGAAGCUCCACAGCCCAAGAGUGCCACAGAUCCGACUGAGGUUGAAGUCCCAGCAGUGGUCGACUUGGUCAUGGAGAUCUUGGUGGUCGUUCCCGACUGGACGGUUCCAUAUAUCGCGUAUAUCCUGAGAAAAGAGCUUCCGGAGGAUGAGGAAGAGGCUCGACAGAUCGUCCGUCGAUCUAAGGCCUUUACCGUAAUCAAAGGACAAUUAUACAGAGAAAGCGCGACUGGAGUUGGUCAGAAGUGCAUAACACCAGAAGAAGGUCGACUCAUCCUCAAUGAUAUCCACUCGGGAACCUGUGGUCAUCAUGCGUCCUCUCGGACCAUCGUGGCCAAAGCAUACCGAGCCGGAUUUUACUGGCCAAAGGCGAAUGAGAUGGCAAAGGAGAUAGUGGAUAAGUGCAAGGGAUGUCAGUUCUACUCGAAUAUGUCGCACAAGCCUGCAUCGGUUCUGAAGACCAUCCCACUCGUCUGGCCUUUCGCGGUAUGGGGGUUGGACAUGGUCGGUCCUUUGAGAACAGGGCGGAGCGGCUUCACGCAUGUACUGGUGGCAGUCGACAAGUUCACCAAGUGGAUUGAGGCUAAACCAAUCAAGAACCUUGACACCGGUACUGCUGUUAGCUUCAUCAGGGAACUAAUAUUCAGAUAUGGAGUCCCGCACAGCAUCAUUACGGAUAAUGGGUCGAACUUUGACUCGGAGGAAUUCAGAGAUUUCUGUAACUCUCAAGGCACACGGGUCGACUACGCUUCAGUCGCCCAUCCGCAGUCGAAUGGACAGGCGGAGCGAGCCAAUGGCCUGAUUCUCAAGGGAUUGAAACCCCGACUGAUGCGUGAUCUCAAGCAUGCAGCUGGAUCUUGGGUCGACGAACUUCCCUUAGUGCUUUGGGGACUGCGGACCACACCUAAUCGGUCGACCGGAAGAACUCCAUUCUUCUUGGUCUACGGAGCUGAAGCAGUCUUGCCGAGCGAUCUUCUCCACAAUGCUCCUCGAGUUGAAAUCUACAACGAAGCAGAAGCUGAACAAGCACGGCAGGACGCAGUCGACCUUUUAGAGGAAGAAAGGGAGAUGGCUCUGAUCCGGUCGACCAUCUACCAACAAGAUUUGCGUCGUUUCCACGCCAGAAAUGUGAGAGGUCGAGCCUUCCAGGAAGGAGAUUUGGUUCUCCGAGUGGAUCAGCACAAACCACACAAGCUUGCUCCUUCUUGGGAAGGUUCCUUUAUCGUCACCAAGGUUCUCCACAACGGGGCGUACCGUCUUUACAACGUCGAGCAUAAUAUCGACGAGCCCCGAGCUUGGAACGCGGAACUACUCCGCCCAUUUUACACUUAAGUUUUAUCACUCGGAUGAGUUGCAAUAAAGUACUUCUGUAGUUCAUGGACCUCAAAAUAAUAGUGUCAUAGUUCCUCCAUAAUUUUUGUCACUUUUCAUUUUGUCUAAUAAAAUUUCCCCCCAGUGGGCGACUUAGCCGCGAAUCUGUUCCGCCUAAGUUUGUAAAAAAUCCUACCGAGUGGUGAGCCAGACUCCCACUCGGAGGCUUAGCUGCGAAUCCGUUUCGCCUAAGUUAUAAAAAUCCUACCGAGUGAAGAGCAAACCUCUCACUCGGGGGCUUAGCUGCAGCCCAUUGCUCGCCUAAGAUAUAAAAAUCCUACCGAGUGGUAAGCCAGACUUCCACUCGGAGGCUUAGCUGCAGCUCAGUGCUCGCCUAAGUUAUCGAAAUCCUACCGAGUGAAGAGCAAACCUCUCACUCGGGGGCUUAGCUGCAGCCCAGUGCUCGCCUAAGAUAUAAAAAUGUUGGAAAUAUGCCCUAGAGGCAAUAAUAAAAGUGUUAUUAUUAUAUUUCCUUGUUCAUGAUAAUUGUCUUUUAUUCAUGCUAUAACUGUAUUAUCCGGAAAUCGUAAUACACGUGUGAAUACAUAGACCACAAUAUGUCCCUAGUGAGCCUCUAGUUGACUAGCUCGUUGUGAUCAACAGAUAGUCAUGGUUUCCUGGCUAUGGACAUUGGAUGUCGUUGAUAACGGGAUCACAUCAUUAGGAGAAUGAUGUGAUGGACAAGACCCAAUCCUGAGCAUAGCACAAAGAUCGUGUAGUUCGUUUGCUAGAGCUUUGCCAAUGUCAAGUAUCUCUUCCUUUGACCAUGAGAGCGUGUAACUCCUGGAUACCGUAGGAGUGCUUUGGGUGUAUCAAACGUCACAACGUAACUGGGUGACUAUAAAGGUGCACUACAGGUAUCUCCGAAAGUAUCUAUUGUUUUAUGCGGAUCGAGACUGGGAUUUGUCACUCCGUGUAAACGGAGAGGUAUCUCUGGGCCCACUCGGUAGGACAUCAUCAUAUGCGCAAUGUGACCAAGGAGUUGAUCACGGGAUGAUGUGUUACGGAACGAGUAAAGUGACUUGCCGGUAACGAGAUUGAACAAGGUAUUGGAUACCGACGAUCGAGUCUCGGGCAAGUAACAUACCGAUAGACAAAGGGAAUUGAAUACGGGAUUGAUUAUGUCCUUGACAUCGUGGUUCAUACGAUGAGAUCAUCGUGGAGCAUGUGGGAGCCAUCAUGGGUAUCCAGAUCCCGCUGUUGGUUAUUGACCAGAGAACGUCUCGGUCAUGUCUACAUGUCUCCCGAACCCGUAGGGUCUACACACUUAAGGUUCGAUGACGCUAGGGUUAUAAAGGAAGUUUGUAUGUGGUUACCGAAUGUUGUUCGGAGUCCCGGAUGAGAUCCCGGACGUCACGAGGAGUUCCGGAAUGGUUCGGAGGUAAAGAUUUAUAUAUGGGAAGUCCUAUUUUGGCCACCGGAAAAUGUUCGGGAUUUUUCGGUAUUGUACCGGGAAGGUUCUAGAAGGUUCCGGAGUGGGGCCCACCUGCAUGGGGGGGCCCAUAUGGAUGUGGGUAGUGGGGGCAAGGCCCCACACCCCUGGUCAAGGCGCACCAAGAUCCCCCCUUAGAAGGAAUAAGAUCAUAUCCCGAAGGGAUAAGAUCAAGAUCCCUAAAAAGGGGGGAUAACAAUCGGUGGGGAAGGAAAUGAUGGGAUUUCUUUCCUCCCACCUUGGCCAACGCCCCAAUGGACUUGGAGGGCAAGAAACCAGCCCCCUCCACCCCUAUAUAUAGUGGGGAGGCGCAUGGGAGCUUCACCCUUGCCCCUGGCGCAGCCCUCCCUCUCCCAAGUGCUCCUCCUCUCUCGCGGUGCUUGGCGAAGCCCUGCAGGAUUGCCACGCUCCUCCACCACCACCACGCCGUUGUGCUGCUGCUUGACGGAGUCUUCCUCAACCUCUCCCUCUCUCCUUGCUGGAUCAAGGCAUGGGAGACGUCACCGGGCUGUACGUGUGUUGAACGCGGAGGUGCCGUCCGUUCGGCACUAGGAUCUCCGGUGAUUUGGAUCACGACGAGUACGACUCCUUCAACCCCGUUCUCUUGAACGCUUCCGCUUAGCGAUCUACAAGGGUAUGUAGAUGCACUCUCUUUCUACUCGUUGCUGGUAUCUCCAUAGAUAGAUCUUGGUGACACGUAGGAAAAUUUUGAAUUUCUGCUACGUUCCCCAACAGUGGCAUCAUGAGCUAGGUCUAUUGCGUAGAUUCUUUGCACGAGUAGAACACAAAGUAGUUGUGGGCUUUGAUUUUGUUCAGUAUGCUUACCGUUACUAGUCCAAUCUUGUUUCGACGGUAUUGUGGGAUGAAGCGGCCCGGACCGACCUUACACGUACUCUUACGUGAGACAGGUUCCACCGAUUGACAUGCACUUGGUGCAUAAGGUGGCUAGCGGGUGCCAGUCUCUCCCACUUUAGUCGGAACGGAUUCGAUGAAAAGGGUCCUUAUGAAGGGUAAAUAGCAAUUGGCAUAUCACGUUGUGGUGUUGCGUAGGUAAGAAACGUUCUUGCUAGAAACCCAUAGCAGCCACGUAAAACAUGCAACAACAAUUAGAGGACGUCUAACUUGUUUUUGCAGGGUAUGCUAUGUGAUGUGAUAUGGCCAAGAAGAAUGUGAUGAAUGAUAUGUGAUGUAUGAGAUUGAUCAUGUUCUUGUAAUAGGAUUCACGACUUGCAUGUCGAUGAGUAUGACAACCGGCAGGAGCCAUAGGAGUUGUCUUUAUUUAUUGUAUGACCUGCGUGUCAUUGAAGAACGCCAUGUAAACUACUUUACUUUAUUGCUAAACGCGUUAGUCAUAGAAGUAUAAGUAGUCGUUGGCGUGACAACUUCAUGAAGACACGAUGAUGGAGAUCAUGAUGAUGGAGAUCAUGGUGUCGUGCCGGUGACGAUGAUGAUCAUGGAGCCCCGAAGAUGAAGAUCAAAAGGAGCAAAAUGAUAUUGGCCAUAUCAUGUCACUAUUUGAUUGCAUGUGAUGUUUAUCAUGUUUAUGCAUCUUGUUUGCUUAGGACGACGGUAGUAAAUAAGAUGAUCCCUUACAAAAUUUCAAGAAGUGUUCUCCCCUAACUGUGCACCGUUGCUACAGUUCGUCGCUUCUAAGCACCACGUGAUGAUCGGGUGUGAUGGAUUCUUACGUUCACAUACAACGGGUGUAAGACAGUUUUACACAGCGAAAACACUUAGGGUUAACUUGACAAGCCUAGCAUGUGCAGACAUGGCCUCGGAACACGGAGACCGAAAGGUCGAGCAUGAGUCAUAUGGUAGAUACGAUCAACAUGAAGAUGUUCACCGAUGAUGACUAGUCCGUCUCACGUGAUGAUCGGACACGGCCUAGUUGACUUGGAUCAUGUGAUCACUUAGAUGACCAGAGGGAUGUCUAUCUAAGUGGGAGUUCAUAAGAUGAACUUAAUUAUCCUGAACAUAGUCAAAAGACCUUUUGCAAAUUAUGUCGUAAGCUCGCGCUUUAGUUCCACUGUUUAGAUAUGUUCCUAGAGAAAAUAUAGUUGAAAGUUGAUAGUAGCGAUUAUGCGAUCAGUAGAAAGCUUAUGUCCUUAAUGCACCGCUCAGUGUGCUGAACCCCAACGUCGUUUGUCGAUGUUGCGAACAUCGGACAUACACGUUUUGAUAACUACGUGAUAGUUCAAUUAAAUGGUUUAAGUAGAGGCACCAAAGACGUUUUCGAAACGUCGCGGAACAUAUGAGAUGUUUCGAGGGCUGAAAUUGGGAUUUCAGGCUCGUGCCCACGUCAAGAGGUAUAAGACCUCCGACGAUUUUCUUAGCCUGCAGACUAAGGAGAAAAGCUCAAUUGUUGUGCUUGUGAUCAGAUUGUCUGAGUACAACAAUCGCUUGAAUCGAGUGGGAGUUGAUCUUCCAGAUGAAAUAGUGAUGGUUCUCCGAAGUCAUUACCACCAAGCUGCUAGAGCUUCGUGAUGAACUAUGAUAUAUCAGGGACAUAUAUGAUGAUCCUUGAGAUAUUCGCGAUGUUUGACGCCACGAAAGUAGAAAUCAAGAAGGAGCAUCAAUUGUUGAUGGUUGGUGAAACCACUAGUUUCAAGAAGGGCAAGGGCAAGAAGGGAUACUUCAUGAAACGGCAAUUCAACUGCUGCUCUAGUGAAGAAACCCAAGGUUGAACCCAAACCCGAGACUAAGUGCUUCUGUAAUAAGGGGAACAACCACUGGAGCAGAAUUACCCUAGAUACUUGGUAGAUGAGAAGGCUGGCAAAGUCGAUAUAAGUAUAUUGGAUAUACAUUAUGUUAAUGUGUACUUUACUAGUACUCCUAGUAGCACCAGGGUAUUAAGAUACCGGUUCGGUUGCUAAGUGUUAGUAACUCGAAAUAAAGAGCUACGGAAUAAACGGAGACUAGCUAAAGGUGAGCUGACGAUAUGUGUUGGAAGUGUUUCCAAGUUUGAUAUGAUCAAACAUCGCACGCUCCCUCUACCAUCAAGAUUAGUAUUAAACCUGAAUGGUUUAUUGAAUCUCGAUCAUAGUGAUACACAUUUUCAUGCCAAAAGAUAUAAGAUAGUAAUGAUAGUACCACUUACUUGUGGCACUGCCAUGUAAGUCAUAAUGGUAUAAAACGCAUGAAGAAGCUCCAUGUUGAUGGAUCUUUGGACUCACUCGUUUUGAAAAGUUUGAGACAUGCGAACCAUGUCUAUUGGUGUAUAUGCAUGAAGAAACUCCAUGCAAAUGGACCGUUUGGACUCACUUGAUUUUGAAUCACUUGAGAUAUGCAAAUCAUACCACAUGGGCAAGAUGACUGAAAAGCCUCGUUUUCAGUAAGAUGGAACAAGAUAGCAACUUGUUGGAAGUAACACAUUUUGAUGUGUCCAAUCCAAUGAGUGCUAAGGCAUGCAGUGAAUAUCGUUAUGUUCUUACUUCACAGAUGAUUCGAGUAGAUGUUGAGAAUAUUUACUUGAUGAAACACAAGUCUGAAUUAUUGAAUGGUUCAAGUAAUUUCAGAGUGAAGUAGAAGAUCAUUGUGACAAGAGGAUAAAAUGUCUAUGAUACGAUCAUAGAGAUGAAUAUCUGAGUUACGAGUUUUGGCACACAAUUAAGACAUUGUGGAAAUUGUUUCACAAUUAAUACCGCCUGGAACACCAUAGUGUGAUGGUGUGUCCGAACAUCAUAGUUGCACCCUAUUGGAUAUGGUGCGUACCAUGAUGUCUCUUAUCGAAUUACCACUAUUGUCCAUGGGUUAGGCAUUAGAGACAACCACAUUCACUUUAAAUAGGGCACCACGUAAUUCCGUUGAGAUGACACCGUAUGAAUUAUGGUUUAGAGAAACCUAAGUUGUCGUUUCUUAAAAGUUUGGGGCUGCGACGCUUAUGUGAAAAAGUUUCAGGUUGAUAAGCUCGAAUCCAAAGCGGAUAAAAUGCAUCUUCAUAGGACACCCAAAACAGUUGGGUAUACCUCCUAAUUCAGAUCCGAAAGCAAUAGGGAUUGUCUCUUGAAUCGGGUCCUUUCUCGAGGAAAAGUUUCUCUCGAAAGAAUUGAGUGGGAGGAUGGUGGAAACUUGAUGAGGUUAUUGAACCGUCUCUUCAACUAGUGUGUGGCAGGGCACAGGAAGUUGUUCCUGUGGCACCUACACCAAUUGAAGUGGAAGCUUAUGAUAUUGAUCAUGAAACUUCGGAUCAAGUCACUACCAAACCUCGUGGGAUGACAAGGAUGCGUACUACUUCAGAGUGGUACGUAAUCUUGUCUUGAAGGUCAUGUUGCUAGACAACAAUGAACCUACGAGCUAUGGAGAAGCGAUGGUGGGCCCGAAUUCCAACAAAUGGUUAGAAGCCAUGAAAUCCGAGAUAGUAUCCAUAUAUCAGAACAAAGCAUGGACUUUGAUGGACUUGCCCGAUGAUCGGCAAUCCAUUGAGAUAAAUGGAUCUUUUAAGAAGAAGACGGACGUGGAUGGUAAUGUCACCAUCUAUGAAGCUCGACUUGUGGCGAAGUGUUUUCCGACAAGUUCAAGGAGUUGACUAUGAUGAGAUUUUCUCACUCGUAGCGAUGCUUAAAGUCCGUUGGAAUCAUGUUAGCAUUAGCUGCAUUUAUGAAAUCUGGCAGAUGGAUGUCAAGACAAGUUUCCUUACCAGUUUUCGUAAGGAAAGGUUGUAUGCAAUACAAUCAGAAAAGUUUUGUCGAUCCUAAGGAUGCUAAAAGGUAUGCUAGCUCCAGGGAUCCUUCUAAGGACUGGAGUAAGCAUCUCGGAGUUGGAAUGUACGCUUUGAUGAGAUGAUCAAAGAUUUUGGAUUUAUACAAAGUUUAUGAGAAACUUGUAUUUCCAAAGAAGUGAGCGGGAGCACUAUAGAAUUUCUGAUGAGUAUAUGUUGUUGACAUAUUGAUGAUCAGAGAUGAUGUAGAAUUUCUAGAAAGCAUAUAGGGUUAUUUGAAAGGUGUUUUUCAAUAGAAAACCUAGAUUAAGCUACUUGAACAUUGAGCAUCAAGAUCUAUAAGGAUAGAUCAAAAUGCUUAAUAAUACUUUCAAAUGAGCACAUACCUUGACAUGAUCUUGAAGGUGUUCAAGAUAGAUCAGUCAAAGAAGAAGUUCUUGCCUGAGUUGUAAGGUACGAAGUUAAGACUUAAAGCUCGACCUUGGCAGAAUAGAGAGAAAGGACGAAGGUUGUCCCCUAUGCUUAAGACAUAGGCUCUACAGUAUGCUAUGCUGUGUACCGCACCGAAAGUGUGCCUUGCCAUGAGUCAGUCAAGGGGUACAAGAGUGAUCCAUGAAUGGAUCAUAGGACAGCGGUCAAAGUUAUCCUUAGUAACUAGUGGACUAAGGAAUUUUCUCGAUUAUGGAGGUGGUAAAAGAGUUCGUCGUAAAGGUUACGACGAUGCAAGCUUAACACCUAUCCGGAUAGCUCUAAGUAGAGAUACCGGAUACGUACAAUGGGGCAACAAUUUAGAAUAGCUCCAAGUAGAACAGUUAUUUGGAAUAGCUCCAAAUAGAGCGUGGUAGCUGCAUCUAGGAGAUGACAUAGAGAUUUGUAAAGCACACACGGAUCUGAAAGGUUCAGACCCGUUGACUAAAACCUCUCUCACAAGCAACAUGAUCAAACAUAAAACUCAUUGAGUGUUGAUCACAUAGUGAUGUGAACUAGACUACUGAUUCUAGUAAACUCUUGGGUGUUGGUCACAUGGCGAUGUGACCUGUGAGUGUUAAUCACAUGGCGAUGUGAACUAGAUUAUUGACUCUAGUGCAAGUGGGAGACUGUUGGAAAUAUGCCCUAGAGGCAAUAAUAAAAGUGUUAUUAUUAUAUUUCCUUGUUCAUGAUAAUUGUCUUUUAUUCAUGCUAUAAUUGUAUUAUCCGGAAAUCAUAACACACGUGUGAAUACAUAGACCACAAUAUGUCCCUAGUGAGCCUCUAGUUGACUAGCUCGUUGUGAUCAACGGAUAGUCAUGGUUUCCUGGCUAUGGACAUUGGAUGUCGUUGAUAACGGGAUCACAUCAUUAGGAGAAUGAUGUGAUGGACAAGACCCAAUCCUGAGCAUAGCACAAAGAUCGUGUAGUUCGUUUGCUAGAGCUUUGCCAAUGUCAAGUAUCUCUUCCUUUGACCAUGAGAGCAUGUAACUCCUGGAUAUCGUAGGAGUGCUUUGGGUGUAUCAAACGUCACAACGUAACUGGGUGACUAUAAAGGUGCACUACAGGUAUCUCCGAAAGUAUCUAUUGUUUUAUGCGGAUCGAGACUGGGAUUUGUCACUCCGUGUAAACGGAGAGGUAUCUCUGGGCCCACUCGGUAGGACAUCAUCAUAUGCGCAAUGUGACCAAGGAGUUGAUCACGGGAUGAUGUGUUACGGAACGAGUAAAGUGACUUGCCGGUAACGAGAUUGAACAAGGUAUUGGAUACCGACGAUCGAGUCUCGGGCAAGUAACAUACCGAUAGACAAAGGGAAUUGAAUACGGGAUUGAUUAAGUCCUUGACAUCGUGGUUCAUCCGAUGAGAUCAUCGUGGAGCAUGUGGGAGCCAUCAUGGGUAUCCAGAUCCCGCUGUUGGUUAUUGACCAGAGAACGUCUCGGUCAUGUCUACAUGUCUCCCGAACCCGUAGGGUCUACACACUUAAGGUUCGAUGACGCUAGGGUUAUAAAGGAAGUUUGUAUGUGGUUACCGAAUGUUGUUCGGAGUCCCGGAUGAGAUCCCGGACGUCACGAGGAGUUCCGGAAUGGUCCGGAGGUAAAGAUUUAUAUAUGGGAAGUCCUAUUUUGGCCACCGGAAAAUGUUCGGGAUUUUUCGGUAUUGUACCAGGAAGGUUCUAGAAGGUUCCGGAGUGGGGCCCACCUGCAUGGGGGGGCCCACAUGGAUGUGGGUAGUGGGGGCAAGGCCCCACACCCCUGGUCAAGGCGCACCAAGAUCCCCCCUUAGAAGGAAUAAGAUCAUAUCCCGAAGGGAUAAGAUCAAGAUCCCUAAAAAGGGGGGAUAACAAUCGGUGGGGAAGGAAAUGAUGGGAUUUCUUUCCUCCCACCUUGGCCAACGCCCCAAUGGACUUGGAGGGCAAGAAACCAGCCCCCUCCACCCCUAUAUAUAGUGGGGAGGCGCAUGGGAGCUUCACCCUUGCCCCUGGCGCAGCCCUCCCUCUCCCAAGUGCUCCUCCUCUCUCGCGGUGCUUGGCGAAGCCCUGCAGGAUUGCCACGCUCCUCCACCACCACCACCACGCCAUUGUGCUGCUGCUGGACGGAGUCUUCCUCAACCUCUCCCUCUCUCCUUGCUGGAUCAAGGCAUGGGAGACGUCACCGGGCUGUACGUGUGUUGAACGCGGAGGUGCCGUCCGUUCGGCACUAGGAUCUCCGGUGAUUUGGAUCACGACGAGUACGACUCCUUCAACCCCGUUCUCUUGAACGCUUCCGCUUAGCGAUCUACAAGGGUAUGUAGAUGCACUCUCUUUCUACUCGUUGCUGGUCUCUCCAUAGAUAGAUCUUGGUGACACGUAGGAAAAUUUUGAAUUUCUGCUACGUUCCCCAACAAAAAAUCCUACCGAGUGGUAAGCCAGACUUCCACUCGGAGGCUUAGCUGCAGCUCAGUGCUCGCCUAAGUUAUCAAAAUCCUACCGAGUGAAGAGCAAACCUCUCACUCGGGGGCUUAGCUGCAGCCCAGUGCUCGCCUAAGAUAUAAAAAUCCUACCGAGUGGUAAGCCAGACUUCCACUCGGAGGCUUAGCUGCAGCUCAGUGCUCGCCUAAGUUAUCGAAAUCCUACCGAGUGAAGAGCAAACCUCUCACUCGGGGGCUUAGCUACAGCCCAGUGCUCGCCUAAGAUAUAAAAAUCCUGCCGAGUGGUAAGCCAGACUUCCACUCGGAGGCUUAGCUGCAGCUCAGUGCUCGCCUAAGUUAUCGAAAUCCUACCGAGUGNNNNNNNNNNNNNNNNNNNNNNNNNNNNNNNNNNNNNNNNNNNNNNNNNNNNNNNNNNNNNNNNNNNNNNNNNNNNNNNNNNNNNNNNNNNNNNNNNNNNNNNNNNNNNNNNNNNNNNNNNNNNNNNNNNNNNNNNNNNNNNNNNNNNNNNNNNNNNNNNNNNNNNNNNNNNNNNNNNNNNNNNNNNNNNNNNNNNNNNNNNNNNNNNNNNNNNNNNNNNNNNNNNNNNNNNNNNNNNNNNNNNNNNNNNNNNNNNNNNNNNNNNNNNNNNNNNNNNNNNNNNNNNNNNNNNNNNNNNNNNNNNNNNNNNNNNNNNNNNNNNNNNNNNNNNNNNNNNNNNNNNNNNNNNNNNNNNNNNNNNNNNNNNNNNNNNNNNNNNNNNNNNNNNNNNNNNNNNNNNNNNNNNNNNNNNNNNNNNNNNNNNNNNNNNNNNNNNNNNNNNNNNNNNNNNNNNNNNNNNNNNNNNNNNNNNNNNNNNNNNNNNNNNNNNNNNNNNNNNNNNNNNNNNNNNNNNNNNNNNNNNNNNNNNNNNNNNNNNNNNNNNNNNNNNNNNNNNNNNNNNNNNNNNNNNNNNNNNNNNNNNNNNNNNNNNNNNNNNNNNNNNNNNNNNNNNNNNNNNNNNNNNNNNNNNNNNNNNNNNNNNNNNNNNNNNNNNNNNNNNNNNNNNNNNNNNNNNNNNNNNNNNNNNNNNNNNNNNNNNNNNNNNNNNNNNNNNNNNNNNNNNNNNNNNNNNNNNNNNNNNNNNNNNNNNNNNNNNNNNNNNNNNNNNNNNNNNNNNNNNNNNNNNNNNNNNNNNNNGAGUGAAGAGCAAACCUCUCACUCGGGGGCUUAGCUGCAGUCCAAGUACUCGCCUAAGUUAUCAAAAAUCCUACCGAGUGAAGAGCAAACCUCUCACUCGGGGGCUUAGCUGCAGCCCAGUGCUCGCCUAAGAUAUAAAAAUCCUACCGAGUGGUAAGCCGGACUUCCACUCGGAGGCUUAGCUGCAGCCCAGUGCUCGCCUAAGAUAUAAAAAUCCUACCGAGUGGUAAGCCAGACUUCCACUCGGGGGCUUAGCUGCAGCUCAGUGCUCGCCUAAGAUAUAAAACCCUACCGAGUGAAGAGCAAACCUCUCACUCGGAGGCUUAGCUGCAGCCCAGUGCUCGCCUAAGUUAUCAGAAAUCCUACCGAGUGAAAAGUAAACCUCUCACUCGGGGGCUUAGCUGUAGACCAGCGCUCACCCAAGUGGACUAUGGAAUAAGUCGAUUGCAGUAAGUGCCCUGCUUUGGACAUGCAAAAGACAUUUCGAGCCAAAAGCAAUCACAUUCAAACGACAAAUUCAAGUUCGGAUAGAUACCUAAAGGGACCGAAAGUGCUCGGGCGCUAAGCCCGUUAAGGUUUAUCGGUUACAACUCCACUCGGCAUACCGAGGCAAAUUUAAAGCGUCGAGCUUAGAAGAAGUUUUUUACCCCUCCUGCGGAGGGCUGGAAGGUGCAACAAACUCAUCAAGAUCAAUUCCGUCUGCGAUCCGAGUGGCAGCCGCAAGGAAAGUUUCCAUAAAGGACCUGAAGUCGUGUUUCUUGGUGUUGGCCACCCGGAGGGCCGCCAGCUUCUCUUCUCGCGCAUCUUUGAAGUGGACUCGGGCCAGACAUAGAGCAACAUCUGCACUGCACCGAGCCGAGGACUUCUUCCACUCCUGCACUCGACCAGGGAUCGUGUUCAAGCGAGCCAUCAGCGACUCGAGGUCGUUCUGGAGUGUCUCCCUGGGCCAGAGCGUUGAGUCGAUGCGAGAUGUGGCGACCUUCAGCCUUGCAAGAUAGUCCACGACAGCUGCAACACGGGACUCCAGUCGGAAAACAUUCAUGGCAACUUCGUCGUUCACCGGAGAAUUGACGGGGUCGAGGUUUGGUUCCAGCCGGCUAGUUUCUUCUUCAAAGUUUUGACAAAAUUCUGCAAGGACGAUCACCGAGUCAAGGUGAUGGUCGAAUGGAAAAACCAUGAUUGGAAAUAAUUGCCUAGCAUAGAGGUUUACCUUCAAGCAUAAGAAACAGUUUCUUGGCAAGACCACUCAGGAAGGCCUCCAGAUCAUUUUUCUUCUCAGUCAACUUACUAACUUGGUCGGUCAGGGCAGCUUUAUCAGUUUUCAGUCGACUGACCUCCUUGUUGGCGAUCCCAAGAUCAGCUUUCAGAUUGGUAUUGUCUUGUUCAAGCUUGGUGACUGAAGCUAACUUCUCGUCGGCAAGCUUGAUCUUCUCAGCUAGUUCAAGGUCUUUCUUCUGUUGGGCCUCCCUUACCUUACCUGCAAGUUGCAGCAAGAUCAGAUUUUGAAACAAACAAAGGGAAAAGCAGUCGUCAAGGUCUCACAAAACAUACCUUCGGUCUCCUCCUUUGCCUUCGUCAGUUUCUCCUCAACCAGCUUCAAGUUCAGCUCGAGCUGAGUGUGCUUGUUUUCCAGCUCAGAGUAGCGAGCCACAAGAUCACAGGAAUUCUGCGAAGAACCAAUCGACUAAAUGUCAAAUAUAAUUCACUUCCGAGUGAAAAAGGAAAAAUCACACGUUUCUAAGACUACAGCCGAAUACAAGCAUUUGACCGUAGUCUCGGGGACCACACCCAGUGGGUGCACUCAGCGUGCCCCCACUAAUCCUAUUGAAGAUGGAGUCGACCAGUCGACCUCAAAAAAAAA
rnacentral:lncRNA from 1 species